AACGGGGGGGGGCAAGUGUUACUCAACAUAACUGGGCGUAAAGGGCAAUUAGGCGGUUUUUUGGGUUCUAGGUAAAAUACUAAAAAUUUUUAGUUCGCUUAGAUUACUAUCUAACUUGAGUUCAAUAGGGGGUAGCAGAACUUCCAGUGUAGAGGUAAAAUUCGGUGAUACUGGAAGGACUCUCAACAAGCGAAGGCGGCUACCUGGGUUGAGACGUGACGCUGAAAGGCAAAAG
rnacentral:rRNA from 1 species